rnacentral:rRNA from 1 species
UACAGAGGGUGCAAGCGUUGUUCGGAAUUAUUGGGCGUAAAGCGCGUGUAGGCGGCUUUGCAAGUCGGGUGUGAAAGCCCUAGGCUCAACUGAGGAAGUGCAUUCGAAACUGGCAGGCUAGAGUACUAAAGAGGGUCGCGGAAUUCCCGGUGUAGAGGUGAAAUUCGUAGAUAUCGGGAGGAACACCGGUGGCGAAGGCGGCGACCUGGGUAGAUACUGACGCUGAGGUGCGAAAGCGUGGGGAGCAAACAGG